rnacentral:lncRNA from 1 species
AAAAAAAAGAGGGACGAAAGAUACCAAAUGGACAGUCAAACUCAUAAAUCUAAAACAAACUGACAACGCCAUGGCUAAAAAUGAAAAAGACAAACAGAAAAACAAUAGUACACACGACACAACAUAGAAAACUAAAGAAUAAACUACACGAACCCCACCAAAAACUAGGGGUGAUCUCAGGUGCUCCGGAAGGGUAAGCAGAUCCUGCUCCACAUGUGGCAUCCGUCGUGUUGCUUAUGUGAUUACAAAUCCGGUAAAUAGUCUAAUUCGGUAGGUCAUAUUCAUGAAAGGGAAGGGGAUUGUAGUUACGACGUAAGGAACAUAUCCGAUAUCAUUUGUGAAACGGUUAUUCCAUAACGGUCAACCAACUCGUGAUGGCGUCC